AGUGAACGCUGGCGGCAGGCCUAACACAUGCAAGUCGAACGGCAGCGGGUCCUUCGGGAUGCCGGCGAGUGGCGGACGGGUGAGGAAUACAUGGGAAUCUGCCCAGUCGUAGGGGAUAACGUAGGGAAGCUUACGCUAAUACCGCAUGCGACCUUAGGGUGAAAGCGGCGGACCGCAAGGCGUCGCGCGAUUGGAUGAGC
rnacentral:rRNA from 1 species